UGAAAAACUUGAUCAUAAGUUGAUGAUUAAUCCACAGAUUAAAACUGUAUAUAAUGUACAACGUAUAUAAUUUGCAGCUUAUUAAAUAAAAUAUCUAUAAAGAUAUAUUGCUCAGAAACCAUUGGCACAUAAUGUGUCAUUCACACGCAUGAGCUGCUAAAUUUAAUAAAACAUGACGUGUAAAUGUGGUAUCAAUAAUAUUCCAUCCAUAUAAUAAUAAUGUUUUUCGUUUUUAUCUCUAUUAUUAGGAAUUGUUUUUUAUACUCCCGACAAGAUGGAAAAACAAUGUUGGGUAUGAACUAUGAAGUCUAUAGUGUGAAUGAAAUUAUAAUAAUUUAUAAUUGUAUUAAACCUAUUAACGAUCGAUAAGUUGAUGAUUUUGGAUGAGCAGUUGAAGUGGAAAAAUUACUACAAUACAGAGUCUGUAAACAAAACCCUUCAAAUGUGCUACCAAAUUAAAUUACAAAUAUUUUGGUUAAAAAGAUACUCGUCAAUAUUGAUACUAUAGCAUUUUCCAUCAGAAGAUAUUAUCAUAUAUUUAUGUAUAUGAAUAAUGGACAGUCAAUGCUGGUGUUUAACUUUCUAUCGUACGGAACCAAAUGUAUACUGAAGUUUUUUCAACUAUAAUAAAAGUUUUUUAGAUGUCCCAUGCCCAUCAUAUGAGAAGUGAGGAACCAGUACUAUGCCAAAACUGCAGUGAACUUUUAACAGUAGUGCACCUUUUGGUUAACUGUUGAAACUAUUGCAAACCUUGAAAUUCUGGAUAAUCUAUACAAACAUCUGAACCCUCCAGACGAAAAGAAGAUGAAGCUAUAACACAAUUAAAUAAAUGAUGAUAAUAAAGUUUUGGACAGCGUAAAAUCCCAAUAUUUGGUUUUUUUUACUAGAAGUUAUCCAACAGUUAACUCAGUUAUUGAUCGUAGUUAUAGUUCAGUAAUCGGAUGCAAAAGCUACUUCCUGAUAUCUACUGAACAAUUGCCAUCAAGUUUAUGUAGAUGGAUUUUGACCUAAAUUUGCUUUUAGUAAUAAAUAUUAAUCCUAUGUAUUCUUGGAAACAAAAUAUAUAUUUUCCCAAA